CCGGUCCGGUUCACGUGCCUCGCGGCACGACCCGGCGCC
rnacentral:ncRNA from 1 species